GCAGCUUUUAAUCAAAAUUUCAGAAUUCUUCUCAUGCCUUUGGCGUGUAUUGCUUUGAGUGAGAGUGAGGAUUUGCUUUCAUCAAUUGCACCAGGAAUCUUGGCUUACUUAUCAACUAUUCGUUGUGGCGUUUGUUAGAUUCUCAUCUAAAUCCUUCGAUCAUUGGUGUUUCAGCUUCUCUAAAUGUGGGGUGCCAUAGGAGGUGGGUUUAUCAA
rnacentral:lncRNA from 1 species